rnacentral:tRNA from 1 species
GGGCCGGUAGAUCAGUUGGUAGAUCGCCUCCUUGGCAGGGAGGAGGCCGGGGUUUAAAAUCCCCGCCGGUCCA